CUUUUUAGGGCUGCACCCACAGUAUAUGGAGUUCCCAGGCUAGGGGGCUAUAGCUGCCAGCCUAUACCACGGCCACAGCAACACGGGAUCUGAGCCACAUCUGCAGCCUACACCACAGCUCACGGCAAUGCCGGAUCCUUAACCCACUGAGCAAGGCCAGGGAUGGAACCUUCAUCCUCAUGGAUGCUAGUCAGAUUCAUUUCCACUGAGCCAUCAUGGGAACUCCUACCUGUUAUCUUACAUUUCAUAAUGACUAUCCAUUUAAAAGAUGAGAAAUCUGAGGUCAGCGAGGUUAACCUGCCUGAGGGUCCUCAUUUAUUUGAUAAAUGGAAUGAACACACAUUGUCCCACUCCAUAUCCAAAUUCUUUCUAUUAAGCCACACUACCUAAUAUUUAAGGUACAGAUGAUUGAGCACAUUACAUUGUAAAGGGGAGAAGUUCAGGAUCUUGCUGGGGGUGGCAGGGAGGAAACAUUCAUAAAUAAGUGCACUAAACAGAAACAUAUUACAUCUCAGGCUGCUAUAACAAAACACUAUAGACUGGGUGGCUUAAGCAACUGUGAAAUUUAUAUCUCACAGGCUUGGAGGCCACAAGUCCAAGAUCAGAGUGCUAGCUAGCAUGGGGGGCUUCUGGUGAGAACUCUCUUCCUGGCCUGCAGAUAGCCACCUUCUUACUGCGUCCUCACAUGGUAACAGAGGGGUAGAUCAAGUUCUCUGGUGUCUAUUUUAUAAGGGCAUUACCCCCAUCUAGAUCUGAUUCCUCUUUAAAGGCCCUAUCUCCAAAUCCAGUCACACCGGGGCUAGGGCUUCCACUUACCAAUUUGGGGGCUAAACAAACAUUAUGGACAUUUGUCCAUAACACAAAUGUCAAUCCAGUCUCAGUGAGCACAUCUAGUGGCCAGAUGAUGGUUUCAAAGUAACACUUUCCACUGAAAAGACCCAGAGCUCCUUGGGAAAUUGGUGGAUUCCAUACGUGGCUGGGGCAUGGAAAGUAGAAGGGGAACCUGGAACAUCUCAUGCCAUAAAGGAAUGAAGUGCUCAGAUUAGGGAGGGACCAAUUCAAAAGGAGGCAGGAACCAGCAUUUAGAGGCUCCCGCUGGCCAAAUCUGGGAUAAUCUGAGCAUCGAAAUAAUGAUAAAGAGUAAACCUACUGGAUAAAAAGUCCAUCCGUUCACAAUGAGGUAAACAAACAAGGAAUAAAUAAGAAGAGAAGGCCUGGAGUUCCUGUAGCAGCUCAGUGGGUUGAGAACCCAACUAGCAUCCAUGAGGCGGCAGGUUCGAUCCCUGGCCUCAUGCAGGGGUUAAGGAUCCGGCGUUGCUGUGAGUUAUGGUGUAGGUUGUAGACUCAUCUCGGAUCUGGCGUUGCUGUGGCUGUGGCUGUGGCUGGCAGCUAUAGCUUUGAUUUGACCCCUAGCCUGGGAACUUUCAGAUGAGGCCCUAAAAAGCAAAUAAAUAAAUAUAUUUUAAAAAAGCUCAUCUUUAUGGUAGACUGCCAACUAAUAAAUGUAUAAAGAAUGGUGAAAUUAGAAAAUUAUAAUUUGGCAACCAUUAUAAAUAUGGAGUCAGGCAAAAAUCACCAAUGGUGAACAGGUAAAAACUAAUGGGUGAAAAUUUAAAGGUAACAGGAUAUUUCCAUAGUCUCAAAGUAUCUCUCAAAAAAAUACUUAUUAACUACAAAGGGUAAAAGAGUAAACUUUAUAUUGAAGAGGUUUAAAUAGUCUCAAAAUGUGUAUAUAUUUUGUACACUUAUAUAUACACUGUGUGUUGUAUGGUGUGUGAAGGAGAGAAAUAAAUGAGCAAACCAAAUGUAGGAAAAUGCUAACACUUGGGGAAUCUGGGUGAAGAUACAUGAGUAUUCUUUGUACUAUUCUUGCAACUUUUCUCUAAGUCUGAAAUCAUGUCAAAAAUUAAAAAUUGCAAAUUAAAAAAAUUGUCACAAAUAUAACAGCUUUUCCUUCCAUUUUUCCAGUCAUCUCCAUUUCCUCUCUUUCCAAGACCCAGGCAUUCUCAAGGAAGGGUGAAGAAUGUGGCAGCAGUGGUGCAAAUUGAGGCUUGGUGCUAAAGCACUAACAGCCAGGCAAGAAACUAUCAGGUCUCACCACCCUGUGGGCACCUGGGAAAUUCUGAGGGCAGGAUGUAUCAUCAUGGCUGCCUUCCUCAUGCCAAAUCCAGUCCCCUCCCUGGUAGUCUAGUGAUUAGGAUUCAGUGCUCUCUCAAACCUAGUCCUUGGCUUUCUGAGGCCUGAGGAGCCCCUGGCUUCUGUGUCAAGUGUGACACACAUUCUCAUGCUGACUGCAACUCUUAUUAUCUGAGAGGACUUUACAACCAUUUCCUUGCACCAUGCUUUCUGCAGUCCAGAGGUGUGGGCUGAGUGGGGCCUUAUCCCAUUUUGCAGAUGGGAGAAACUGGGAUUCGGCCACGUGCCCAAGGUCAUCCUCAGUAAGAUUAAGACCCAGGUCCUCAGACUUG
rnacentral:lncRNA from 1 species